AUGUCGACGUCCACCUCGGUUGUCUCCACCGGCCUCAACAACAACGUCUCUGAACCCCUCACUCGUUCCAAUUAUGUUCUCUGGCGUGCCCAAGCUCGUUCCCAGAUCAUGGGGGCGGGCCUCUUCGGGUACGUCGACAAAACCCUAGAAGCACCACCCAAAACCAUCACCAGCAAGAACACCGAGGGCAAAGAUCAGGUGGCUGUGAACCCUGCUUAUGCGCCUUGGCUCAUCCAAGAUCAACAGAUCAUCGCCUAUCUCCGCAACCUCUCGAAAGAAGUCCUAGUUCAGGUAGUAUCUCUUGAAACCUCCCAUGCCACCUGGUCCGCCCUUGCCAACAUGUUCUCUGCCCAAUCCCGUUCCCGCUGCAACCACAUCCGCAUCUCCCUCACCACUGCCCAGAAGGGAACCCAGUCUGCUGCUGCAUACUUUGGCUAUAUGCGAGGUCUCGCUGAUGAGAUUGCAGCGGCUGGGAAACCCAUAGAUGAGGACGAACUCGUGUCUCACAUCAUAUCCGGGCUCGACAUGGAAUAUCAGCCCAUCAUCAGCGCCCUGGACGUGCGUCCUGAGCCAACCACCGUCGAUGAACUCUUCGGUAUGGUAUCUACUUUUGAUCAGAGGGUUGAGAUGUUCCAGGGCACCGGCGGCCAAGCUUUUAAAUCAUCGGCCAACGCCGCUUCCCGCGGACGGGGUGGCCCUUCCAAAGGCUGCCGUGGCGGUGGCGGUGGCUCUCGCGGUGGUGGCGGCCACUAUGGUGGCGGUGGUGGCGGCCACUACGGCGGCGACGGUGGCGGUCACUACUCCAACUCCCACGGUGGUGGCAGCGGCGGCCACUACGGUGAUGGUGGUGGCAACCAUGGUGGUGGCUAUGGUGGCCACUACUCCAACUCCGGAGGCAGCGGAGAACACAACUACAACAACGGUGGUCGCCCCUUCUACAACAACAACAGGGGAGGCCAGAACAACUACAACAACAACUUCAGAGGGUAUGAUGAAUAUGAAGGAAAGUGUCAAAUUUGCAAGAAAACUAAUCAUAUUGCAAAGCAAUGCAAGUGGCGCUAUGCAGAUGAAUUCACAAAAAAAAAGAAAGUUGCCGCAGCAGCCAACAAGUCAUAUGGAGUAGAUACAAAUUGGUACGCUGAUUCUGGCGCUUCUGACCACAUCACCCAUGAGCUCGAGAAGGUCACCAUGCAUGAGAAAUAUCACGGUCAUGAGCAAGUUCAUAACGCCGAUGGUACAGGUAUGGAGAUAAGCAAUAUUGGUCAUUCAAUUAUUCGUUCCCCACAUAGAGAUAUCCACUUGAAUAAUAUUUUGCAUUGUCCCACUUCAUCAAAAAAUCUCCUAUCCGUUCAUCGCAUUGCCCUUGACAACCAUGUAUUUUUAGAAUUUCACUCAUUCUUCUUUUUAUCAAGGAUCAGGUCACGAAGCAAAUCCUCUAUCGAGGUAGAUGCGUGGAGGACUGUACCCGUUGAUUCCUCAAGUUGGCAGAUUCAAUAA
rnacentral:rRNA from 1 species